GGCGAACCGUCCAAACGUUAUUCGGAAUCACUGGGCUUACAGAGUUCGUAGGCGGUCUGGAAAGUUGGGUGUGAAAUCCCUCGGCUCAACCGAGGAACUGCGCUUGAAACUACCAGACUCGAGGGAGAUAGAGGAAAGCGGAACUGAUGGUGGAGCGGUGAAAUGCGUUGAUAUCAUCAGGAACACCGGUGGCGAAGGCGGCUUUCUGGGUCUUACCUGACGCUGAGGAACGAAAGCCAGGGGAGCGAACGGG
rnacentral:rRNA from 1 species